GGGAAUAUUGGACAAUGGGCGAAAGCCUGAUCCAGCCAUGCCGCGUGUGUGAAGAAGGUCUUCGGAUUGUAAAGCACUUUAAGUUGGGAGGAAGGGCAGUAAGCUAAUACCUUGCUGUUUUGACGUUACCGACAGAAUAAGCACCGGCUAACUCUGUGUCAG
rnacentral:rRNA from 1 species